UAACUGACCAAAAAGUUGCUGUCCAUCUUUUUCAUAAGUCCCCUCUAAGUACUGAAAGGUUGCAGUGAGGUCACCCUGGAGCCUUCUCUUCUAUAGGCUGAACAUCCCCAGCUCUGUCAGUCUAUCUUCAUAGCAGAGGUGCUCCAGCCUCUUGAUCAUC